AAAUGAAAAUGGGUAAGUGAUGCAGUAUCCUAGUCAGAACGCCUCCACUGAAGGCGGGCCUAAAAAUCCGCCAAGGGCACAUCGAUGAAGUUCCUGGUGCUGGCUGCUGGCGCCCAGCCGGGGGCUGGUACUGGGAGUUAAGGCGGAAGGGCGACCCGCAAAGGCAUGCGGGCGUUGACCCUCCCGCCGCGGAGACCCAAGUGCGUGGGCUGACGCCUAUGGCUUGGGAUAGAACCUGUACGUGGUGGAAAGCUGCGUACAGCGUAGCCUGCCUUGAGUGGCCCGGGUGGAUGCAAAGAAAAGCGGCCUCCGGGUAUGGGCCCAUCCCGGAGGUCCGCUAGCUGAAACCCUGGCUGCAAAAGAGGCUAGGUGGAGGGCGGUUCUGUCGGGGAAAACCCCUAGGCUGUCCG
rnacentral:sRNA from 1 species